AGGUCCCCAGGAGUCACCCUGGGAAUCCAGGCAGCUCCUUGUCUUGAAUGAACCUUUCUUCUCACGCCAGGAAAUGCCGGCCCCUGUCCGAUUUUUGUUUGUUUCAAAAUAGAGAACGUGUUUAAAAGUUGUCACAGUCCCACCUACCUAUCUACCUACCUACCUACACACACUCACACACACACACACACACACACACACACGCAGGUCUUUGCACCGCGUACUCCUGUUCUCUCUCCCGGAAUGUCUUCGUUUUGCUGGAAACGGAAAGGCCGGCGCCGGGGCUGCAGCUCGGACCUCCGAGGUCCUGGGCACUUGGUCUCCCUCCGGCGCCUCACGCCAGAUGCCCGGAGCGGGGCCGGAGGACCUGAGGGCGUAAGGGCGCUUUCGCACUGUUUGGCGGCACAGGGGGUGCUCCCGGUCCCCCUAGGGCUCCUCCCGGGGUGUCUGACCGCCCGACGCCAGGGCUGGACCCGCCAGCGCUGCCGCCAGGGAGCCCGGCUCCGAAAAGUGUCCCGGCCGCAGCCGGACCCACGCAGCGAGUCUCCGUCUGCAGCGCGGAACGACUUUAGUUCGCGGCUUCACUUUCCAAAGUGCCGGUGGCGGGGUUUUGUGCGAACAUCUCUGAGAAGUGAGGCGCGAGGGGAAGACGGCGGGGGGAAAGGUGGGUCUCUGGAUGUUCCUUUCUUGUCUGAGUACCAGGAAGAUCUAGUUAAAAUCCGUUCUUUCCUUCGCCCUUCCCUUCUCCCCAGAACCCCCACCCGCACCCCGACCCACCGCGGCCCCUCCCGCCGCAGCAGGAGCCGCACAAGGUCUGGGGGUACUGGGCAGGCAGCCGGCGAAGCGAUGCCUCCCUCAGUCGGGCAGUACCUGAAGAAUCGCUGGGGCUACUGUGUCCACUAAGGGCAAAGGGGGAGAAGAGAAGCAGAAAAAACCUCCUCAGAAGUCUUGUUUGCCACUGUUAAAAGGCUGUUGUUCAUUUCUGACUCCCUCAUCUUUCAGGACACAGGAAAGGAAUCGAGUGAUGUGCCUACAUUUGAUGAGAAGAAACCACUAACCACCACAGUGAAAGUGCAUUUGUUUCAUUUUCCUUUUCCCCCGGCAGAGAAAUGUUUACUAUCCAAUUUAGCGCGUGGGAGCUGUGGACAAGCAAGAGGCGUCCCCCUGUCCACGUCUAGUUGCUGACUUUCAUCGCUUGGAUUUGGUAGGCUUUUUGUAUCAAAUAGAAACCACGGGGAAGAGAAUGAGAUACUUGCCAAUAAACAAUAUUACGUUUCAA